rnacentral:rRNA from 1 species
GGAGUUUGGGCCGUGUCUCAGUCCCAAUGUGGCCGAUCACCCUCUCAGGUCGGCUACCGAUCGUCGACUUGGUGGGCCGUUACCUCACCAACUAUCUAAUCGGACGCGAGCCCACCCUUCACCGGAUUGCUCCUUUGACCCCUGGGCCAUGCAGCCCCGUGGUCUUAUGCGGUAUUAGUACAACUUUCGCUGUGUUAUCCCCCUCGUGAAGGACAGGUUGCUCACGCGUUACUCACCCGUCCGCCGCUAAAACAUACAUCUUUGUCUCCAUCCGAAAACUUCAUCAGCAUUCCUCGUUCGACUUGCAUGUGUUAAGCACGCCGCCAGCGUUCAUC